AUGAUCCUCAACUUGUUGCCAUACGCUUGCUUUCUCAGGAUAUUUCUAUCGGAGCUUCGGAAAUCGUCCUGCAGCAGAAGGAAUUUUACAUACAUACCCAGGAAAAGUUAAUGCAUUGGUUGUCCUCCUUAUCUCAUGCGGUUCUCACAACCUCUUUGCAAGGCAGCAGGAACUACAGCACUCCCUAGCACACCUCAUUUGGAUCCUGUCUUCUAAUGCCUCGAAGGAGCAUGGGCACCAAACCUCCACCAGAGGAGAGGAAACCUGAUUCUUUGAAGCCUGGCUCUAACCUACCUGCAAGAAGAAAACGAACAAUAUUUAGUAAAGUACAACUCGAUACUUUGAUCGACUACUUUCAAAAGAACAACUACCCUGGGAUAAAAGAAAGAGAACAACUUUCCAAGAUGAUCAAUGUUCCCGAAGACAGAA